rnacentral:rRNA from 1 species
UGCAUAUCANAAAGCGGAGGAAAAGAAACCAACAGGGAUUGCCCUAGUAACGGCGAGUGAAGCGGCAACAGCUCAAAUUUGAAAGCUGGCCUUCGGGUCCGCAUUGUAAUUUGUAGAGGAUGCUUUGGGGCAGCCGCCUGUCUAAGUUCCUUGGAACAGGACGUCAUAGAGGGUGAGAAUCCCGUAUGUGACAGGACAUGGCACCCUAUGUAAAGCUCCUUCGACGAGUCGAGUUGUUUGGGAAUGCAGCUCUAAAUGGGAGGUAAAUUUCUUCUAAAGCUAAAUACCGGCGAGAGACCGAUAGCGCACAAGUAGAGUGAUCGAAAGAUGAAAAGCACUUUGGAAAGAGAGUUAAAAAGCACGUGAAAUUGUUGAAAGGGAAGCGCUUGCAAUCAGACUUGUUUUGACUGUUCGGCCGGUCUUCUGACCGGUUUACUCAGUCUGGACAGGCCAGCAUCAGUUUUGGCGGCCGGAUAAAGGCUCAGGGAAUGUGGCUCUCACUUCGGUGGGAGUGUUAUAGCCCUGGGUGUAAUACGGCCAGCCGGGACUGAGGUCCGCGCUUCGGCUAGGAUGCUGGCGUAAUGGUUGUAAGCGACCCGUCUUGAA